rnacentral:misc_RNA from 1 species
GAUUUCGAUUGGUCGGUCAGAGAGGUUACCUGGAAAUCCAACACCGCCCAACACCCCUCCCGCUCCCCAGUCCGGGGACUUCGAUAGGAUUGGAGAAGGAGGUGACAGGAGGAGCCCCCGCACAGGACCUAAGAAUGCUGUGACCAGAAGAUGGGAUCGCGGAACAGCAGCAGUGCAGGAUCCGGGUCCGGAGACCCCUCCGAGGGCUUGCCCCGAAGAGGGGCUGGCCUGCGUCGGAGUGAGGAAGAGGAAGAAGAGGAUGAAGAUGUGGAUCUGGCCCAGGUACUGGCCUAUCUCCUCCGCAGGCCCUCUUGGACUCAGAGGAAGAGAAUGACAGAGCUUGGGAUGGUCGUCUUGGGGAUCGAUACAACCCACCUGUGGAUGCUACCCCUGACACCCGGGAGCUGGAAUUCAAUGAGAUCAAGACACAAGUGGAACUGGCCACAGGGCAGCUGGGGCUUAGGCGGGCCGCCCAGAAGCACAGCUUUCCUCGAAUGUUGCACCAGGUAGGCCUCUCCACCU